UCUUCAGAACUAUUUGCAGCAGGUGUUACCUGCUAUCUUAGAUGGUCUUGCUGAUGAGAAUGAAUCUGUACGAGAUGCUGCUCUCAGUGCUGGUCAUGUCUUGGUUCACCAUUAUGCAACAACGUCUUUGCCUCUGCUCCUUCCCGCUGUGGAGGAUGGCAUUUUUAGUGAUAGUUGGCGUAUCAGACAAAGCUCUGUAGAAUUGUUGGGUGAUCUGUUAUUCAAGGUUGCUGGGACAUCUGGGAAAGCACUUCUCGAGGGUGGUAGUGAUGAUGAAGGUGCAAGUACUGAGGCACAUGGGCGUGCAAUCAUUGAGGUGCUU